rnacentral:rRNA from 1 species
CCUACGGGAGGCAGCAGUAGGGAAUAUUGGGCAAUGGAGGCAACUCUGACCCAGCCAUGCCGCGUGCAGGAAGAAGGCGUUAUGCGUUGUAAACUGCUUUUAUAUAGGAAGAAAUAGACCUUGCGAGGUAAGUUGACGGUACUAUAUGAAUAAGCACCGGCUAACUCCGUGCCAGCAGCCGCGGUAAUACGGAGGGUGCAAGCGUUGUCCGGAUUUAUUGGGUUUAAAGGGUGCGUAGGCGGUUUAUUAAGUCAGUGGUGAAAGACGGUCGCUCAACGAUUGCAGUGCCAUUGAUACUGGUAGACUUGAGUGGGAUUGAGGUAGCUGGAAUGGAUAGUGUAGCGGUGAAAUGCAUAGAUAUUAUCCAGAACACCAAUUGCGUAGGCAAGUUACUAAGUCUCAACUGGCGCUGAGGCACGAAAGUGUGGGUAUCAAGCAGGAUUAGAUACCCUGGUAGUCCACACUGUAAACGAUGAUAACUAACUGUUGGCUUUCGAGUCAGUGGUACAGAGAAAUCGUUAAGUUAUCCACCUGGGGAGUACGCCGGCAACGGUGAAACGUCAAAUGAAUUGACGG